rnacentral:rRNA from 1 species
AAAGGGUGCGUAGGCGGCCUGUUAAGUCAGAGGUGAAAGACGGUAGCUCAACUAUCGCAGUGCCUUUGAUACUGAUGGGCUUGAAUGGACUAGAGGUAGGCGGAAUGAGACAAGUAGCGGUGAAAUGCAUAGAUAUGUCUCAGAACACCGAUUGCGAAGGCAGCUUACUAUGGUUUUAUUGACGCUGAGGCACGAAAGCGUGGGGAUCAAACAGGAUUAGAUACCCGGGU